rnacentral:rRNA from 1 species
CAGUAGCCACGGAAUACAGAGGGUGCGAGCGUUAAUCGGAUUUACUGGGCGUAAAGCGUGCGUAGGCGGCUUUUUAAGUCGGAUGUGAAAUCCCUGAGCUUAACUUAGGAAUUGCAUUCGAUACUGGGAAGCUAGAGUAUGGGAGAGGAUGGUAGAAUUCCAGGUGUAGCGGUGAAAUGCGUAGAGAUCUGGAGGAAUACCGAUGGCGAAGGCAGCCAUCUGGCCUAAUACUGACGCUGAGGUACGAAAGCAUGGGGAGCAAACAGGAUUAGAUACCCGUGUAGUCCCUGUCUCUUAUACA